rnacentral:rRNA from 1 species
UACAGAGGUCUCAAGCGUUGUUCGGAUUCAUUGGGCGUAAAGGGUGCGUAGGUGGCGGGGUAAGUCGGAUGUGAAAUCUCAGGGCUCAACCCUGAAACUGCAUUCGAUACUGCCUUGCUCGAGGACUGGAGAGGAGAUUGGAAUUCACGGUGUAGCAGUGAAAUGCGUAGAUAUCGUGAGGAAGAUCGAGUGGACGGAAGGCGGAUCUCUGGGACAGUUCCUGACACUGAGGCACGAAGGCCAGGGGAGCAAACGGG